rnacentral:lncRNA from 1 species
ACCGACUCCAGCUUGCAUCCCCUCUCACAGUCGCCCAUCGCGGCCUAGCCUCUCUGCUCCAAUCGGACAGGCGAUUGCAAUGGCCACUCCGUUAGGUAGUUAGGCUGCUUUUCUUCUUCUUCUUCUUCUUCUCUUCCCUUCACUCUUUCAUAAAUCAAAACGUGCCGACCCUUUUUUCAACCCUAACCGCUUUGCCGCCAUGCCGCGUCCACCAUCUGCGCAACAGUGCGUCACUCGAACCGCCGGCCAGCCACCUACUCCCAGUAAAGGAGAUGUAAAGAAUUGCUUGUCUAGCUUCUCCGACUCUCUUUAGAUUUACAUAAUCGAAAAGGAAAAAGGCAAAAAAGGUGAUGUCCAAAGUGAAAUAUGAGGCCUUACGCGAGCAAAGAUUGGAAGAGAAUAGGAAAAGACUUCUAUAGCCCUCAAAAACUCCUCUUAUCCCAAACCCGCACUGGUAUUUCUCUUUCAUGCUCUUAUUUGACUUACAAAGAAGUACUGUGGCUCUCCUUUUAGGCCUUUUUCUAACUCUGCCAGACGGUAAACUCCUUGCAAAUGGUUUUUAAAAAUUUCUAGCACAUUAAUUUAAUUUGUUAACAAUGCAAUUAUUGUGUAGAUCAUUGUUCUUUAUUGGGUUAAUGCAUUUGUAGAGCUACCAAUCGGACCCGAAACCUCUCGAAUCUGGCAUAUGCAUCAGAUGAAGAUAGAGAAUGUGCUAUAAAGAAAGCAGGGGAGCUUGAGUCAAGCAUAGAGUCUGAUUAUCCAUGUCACUGGUGGUUUUUGGCUGGUGAGCAUCAGUAGAUUACUUAACUCUAUUUUUCAUAGUGAACGUUGCUUCAAAUAUAUUCCCUUUGGAUUAGGCUGCAGACGAAG